ACCUGGGUAGCUCAGUCAGUUGAGCAUCUGACUUUGGCUCAGGUCAUGACCUCAUGGCCUGUGAGUUCAAGCCUCACAUCAGGCU
rnacentral:tRNA from 1 species